rnacentral:misc_RNA from 1 species
AACCAUAGAAACCUGCGGAGUACCUGCGGAGGGAUCAUUAGCAAAUCCGUGUGUUUGGUGGUGGGGUUGGUGUUGUUGGUAGUGGUCAGAGUGAGCGCGAGCUUCAUUCGACACCGACACGGCACCGCUCCCAGCCAACACAUAUAUAAACCCCAAGUGGUCUGUGGGCCCUUUGGUAUGCGCGUUGGGCUAUGGUAAUUGCUGCCGCAUUUACACGAACCCGCGCCAUUAUAUAGACGC